AGACGUAGGGCGCGAGCGUUAUCCGGAUUUAUUGGGCGUAAAGGGCUCGUAGGCGGUUAUGUAAGUCGGGUGUGAAAACUUGGGGCUUAACCCUGAGAUGCCAUCCGAUACUGCAUUGACUAGAGUUCGGUAGAGGAGCGUGGAAUUCCUAGUGUAGCGGUGAAAUGCGCAGAUAUUAGGAGGAACACCUAUUGCGAAGGCAGCACUCUGGGCCGAUACUGACGCUGAGGAGCGAAAGCGUGGGUAGCAAACAGGAUUAGAAACCCCAGUAGUCC
rnacentral:rRNA from 1 species